UACGUAGGGGGCUAGCGUUGUCCGGAAUCAUUGGGCGUAAAGCGCGUGUAGGCGGUCCGGUAAGUCCGCUGUGAAAGUCGGGGGCUCAACCCUCGGAUGCCGGUGGAUACUGUCGGGCUUGAGUACGGAAGAGGCGAGUGGAAUUCCUAGUGUAGAGGUGAAAUUCGUAGAUAUUAGGAAGAACACCAGUGGCGAAGGCGGCUCACUGGCCCGGUACUGACGCUGAGGCGCGAAAGCGUGGGGAGCAAACAGG
rnacentral:rRNA from 1 species